rnacentral:rRNA from 1 species
UACGUAGGGUGCAAGCGUUACUCGGAAUUACUGGGCGUAAAGCGUGCGUAGGUGGUUUGUUAAGUCUGUUGUGAAAGCCCCGGGCUCAACCUGGGAACUGCAUUUGAAACUGGCGGGCUUGAGUGUGGCAGAGGGGGGUGGAAUUCCGCGUGUAGCAGUGAAAUGCGUAGAGAUGCGGAGGAACACCGAUGGCGAAGGCAGCCCCCUGGGCCAACACUGACGCUCAGGCACGAAAGCGUGGGGAGCAAACAGG